rnacentral:rRNA from 1 species
GACGUAGGGGGCGAGCGUUGUCCGGAAUCACUGGGCGUAAAGAGCUCGUAGGCGGGGCUGCGCGUCGCGGAGUAAAUCCAUCUGCUUAACGGAUGGCUCAUCUGCGAUACGGCAGCUCUUGAGGACAGGAGAGGAAAGCGGAAUUCCGAGUGUAGCGGUGGAAUGCGCAGAUAUCAGGAAGAACACCCGUGGCGAAGGCGGCUCUCUGGGACGGUACUGACGCUGAGACGCGAAAGCGUGGGGAGCGAACAGG